GACGAACGCUGGCGGCGUGCUUAACACAUGCAAGUCGAGCGGUAAGGCCCUUUCGGGGGUACACGAGCGGCGAACGGGUGAGUAACACGUGGGUGACCUGCCCUCAGCUCUGGGAUAAGCCUGGGAAACCGGGUCUAAUACUGGAUAUGACUCCAUGACGCAUGUUGUGGGGUGGAAAGCCUUGUGCGGCUGAGGAUGGGCCCGCGGCCUAUCAGCUUGUUGGUGGGGUGAGGCCUACCAAGGCGACGACGGGUAGCCGGCCUGAGAGGGCGACCGGCCACACUGGGACUGAGACACGGCCCAGACUCCUACGGGAGGCAGCAGUGGGGAAUAUUGCGCAAU
rnacentral:rRNA from 1 species